rnacentral:rRNA from 1 species
UCGAGCGAACGGACGAGAAGCUUGCUUCUCUGAUGUUAGCGGCGGACGGGUGAGUAACACGUGGAUAACCUACCUAUAAGACUGGGAUAACUUCGGGAAACCGGAGCUAAUACCGGAUAAUAUUUUGAACCGCAUGGUUCAAAAGUGAAAGACGGUCUUGCUGUCACUUAUAGAUGGAUCCGCGCUGCAUUAGCUAGUUGGUAAGGUAACGGCUUACCAAGGCAACGAUGCAUAGCCGACCUGAGAGGGUGAUCGGCCACACUGGAACUGAGACACGGUCCAGACUCCUACGGGAGGCAGCAGUAGGGAAUCUUCCGCAAUGGGCGAAAGCCUGACGGAGCAACGCCGCGUGAGUGAUGAAGGUCUUCGGAUCGUAAAACUCUGUUAUUAGGGAAGAACAUAUGUGUAAGUAACUGUGCACAUCUUGACGGUACCUAAUCAGAAAGCCACGGCUAACUACGUGCCAGCAGCCGCGGUAAUACGUAGGUGGCAAGCGUUAUCCGGAAUUAUUGGGCGUAAAGCGCGCGUAGGCGGUUUUUUAAGUCUGAUGUGAAAGCCCACGGCUCAACCGUGGAGGGUCAUUGGAAACUGGAAAACUUGAGUGCAGAAGAGGAAAGUGGAAUUCCAUGUGUAGCGGUGAAAUGCGCAGAGAUAUGGAGGAACACCAGUGGCGAAGGCGACUUUCUGGUCUGUAACUGACGCUGAUGUGCGAAAGCGUGGGGAUCAAACAGGAUUAGAUACCCUGGUAGUCCACGCCGUAAACGAUGAGUGCUAAGUGU